rnacentral:rRNA from 1 species
AGUGAACGCUGGCGGUAGGCCUAACACAUGCAAGUCGAACGGCAGCACAGUAAGAGCUUGCUCUUACGGGUGGCGAGUGGCGGACGAGUGAGGAAUACAUCGGAAUCUACUUUUUCGUGGGGGAUAACGUAGGGAAACUUACGCUAAUACCGCAUACGACCUACGGGUGAAAGCAGGGGAUCUUCGGACCUUGCGCGAUUGAAUGAGCCGAUGUCGGAUUAGCUAGUUGGCGGGGUAAAGGCCCACCAAGGCGACGAUCCGUAGCUGGCCUGAGAGGAUGAUCAGCCACACUGGAACUGAGACACGGUCCAGACUCCGACGGGAGGCAGCAGUGGGGAAUAUUGGACAAUGGGCGAAAGCCUGAUCCAGCCAUACCGCGUGGGUGAAGAAGGCCUUCGGGUUGUAAAGCCCUUUUGUUGGGAAAGAAAAGCAGCAGGUUAAUACCCCGCUGUUCUGACGGUACCCAAAGAAUAAGCACCGGCUAACUUCGUG